rnacentral:rRNA from 1 species
GACGAACGCUGGCGGCGUGCCUAAUACAUGCAAGUCGAACGCUUCUUUCCUCCCGAGUGCUUGCACUCAAUUGGAAAGAGGAGUGGCGGACGGGUGAGUAACACGUGGGUAACCUACCCAUCAGAGGGGGAUAACACUUGGAAACAGGUGCUAAUACCGCAUAACAGUUUAUGCCGCAUGGCAUAAGAGUGAAAGGCGCUUUCGGGUGUCGCUGAUGGAUGGACCCGCGGUGCAUUAGCUAGUUGGUGAGGUAACGGCUCACCAAGGCCACGAUGCAUAGCCGACCUGAGAGGGUGAUCGGCCACACUGGGACUGAGACACGGCCCAGACUCCUACGGGAGGCAGCAGUAGGGAAUCUUCGGCAAUGGACGAAAGUCUGACCGAGCAACGCCGCGUGAGUGAAGAAGGUUUUCGGAUCGUAAAACUCUGUUGUUAGAGAAGAACAAGGACGUUAGUAACUGAACGUCCCCUGACGGUGUCUAACCAGAAAGCCACGGCUAACUACGUG